rnacentral:piRNA from 1 species
UAACCAAGAAAUGGGCAUCUUCU